GAACUGAAGAGUUUGAUCAUGGCUCAGAUUGAACGCUGGCGGCAGGCCUAACACAUGCAAGUCGAGCGGAUGACGGGAGCUUGCUCCUUGAUUCAGCGGCGGACGGGUGAGUAAUACCUAGGAAUCUGCCUGGUAGUGGGGGACAACGUUUCGAAAGGAACGCUAAUACCGCAUACGUCCUACGGGAGAAAGCAGGGGACCUUCGGGCCUUGCGCUAUCAGAUGAGCCUAGGUCGGAUUAGCUAGUUGGUGAGGUAAUGGCUCACCAAGGCUACGAUCCGUAACUGGUCUGAGAGGAUGAUCAGUCACACUGGAACUGAGACACGGUCCAGACUCCUACGGGAGGCAGCAGUGGGGAAUAUUGGACAAUGGGCGAAAGCCUGAUCCAGCCAUGCCGCGUGUGUGAAGAAGGUCUUCGGAUUGUAAAGCACUUUAAGUUGGGAGGAAGGGCAUUAACCUAAUACGUUAGUGUUUUGACGUUACCGACAGAAUAAGCACCGGCUAACUCUGUGCCAGCAGCCGCGGUAAUACAGAGGGUGCAAGCGUUAAUCGGAAUUACUGGGCGUAAAGCGCGCGUAGGUGGUUCGUUAAGUUGGAUGUGAAAUCCCCGGGCUCAACCUGGGAACUGCAUCCAAAACUGGCGAGCUAGAGUAGGGCAGAGGGUGGUGGAAUUUCCUGUGUAGCGGUGAAAUGCGUAGAUAUAGGAAGGAACACCAGUGGCGAAGGCGACCACCUGGGCUCAUACUGACACUGAGGUGCGAAAGCGUGGCGCAUUAAGUUGACCGCCUGGGGAGUACGGCCGCAAGGUUAAAACUCAAAUGAAUUGACGGGGCCCGCACAAGCGGUGGAGCAUGUGGUUUAAUUCGAAGCAACGCGAAGAACCUUACCAGGCCUUGACAUCCAAUGAACUUUCCAGAGAUGGAUUGGUGCCUUCGGGAACAUUGAGACAGGUGCUGCAUGGCUGUCGUCAGCUCGUGUCGUGAGAUGUUGGGUUAAGUCCCGUAACGAGCGCAACCCUUGUCCUUAGUUACCAGCACGUUAUGGUGGGCACUCUAAGGAGACUGCCGGUGACAAACCGGAGGAAGGUGGGGAUGACGUCAAGUCAUCAUGGCCCUUACGGCCUGGGCUACACACGUGCUACAAUGGUCGGUACAGAGGGUUGCCAAGCCGCGAGGUGGAGCUAAUCUCACAAAACCGAUCGUAGUCCGGAUCGCAGUCUGCAACUCGACUGCGUGAAGUCGGAAUCGCUAGUAAUCGCGAAUCAGAAUGUCGCGGUGAAUACGUUCCCGGGCCUUGUACACACCGCCCGUCACACCAUGGGAGUGGGUUGCACCAGAAGUAGCUAGUCUAACCUUCGGGAGGACGGUUACCACGGUGUGAUUCAUGACUGGGGUGAAGUCGUAACAAGGUAGCCGUAGGGGAACCUGCGGCUGGAUCACCUCCUUA
rnacentral:rRNA from 1 species